UGUACAUAUUUUUAAAGGAAUAAAAAAUUUGUCAAAAUGUUAUUUUUUGAAAUAUAAAAAGCUGCCGAAAAGACACAUUACUUUUAGAUUUUAUUAUUGAGAAAUAAAUUAAAUUAAUGUUCGAAUAGAAGUGACCGCGCAAUAAGUUUUUCGAAAAAGAACGUAAGACAUAUACAAAAGCAAUAUAUUGCAUUUGAGCUCAUAUGUAUGCAGAUGUCAUAAUCAAAUCUACAGAUCUUAUGCUGAAUAAUUUUGGUCUAUAAAGGUCCCUCAAAAAUUUGCGAAAAAUGUUUUAGAAUCGGGGUUGUCAUUGAAAUAAUAGGUGGUCAAUAAAAAUACAUAUUACGUUCCUUUUUAAAUCAAGAUGCUAUUGUCCAACAACAAAUAAUGAAUAAUUUGCACGAAUUUAUCAAUUAAGGCUUUCAAUUGUCCAAAGAAAAGAGAAGACCCGAAAUUCAAGAAAAAAUAGUUGUUGAAGUCAAUGUGGAACUAAUAUAACUGUUAAAUCAAUAAAUUUUCGUACUUUUAUGCAUUAUAUUCUCAAUUCUUUAAACUAAUAAAUAAAUACAAAACUAUUAAAAAUAAAAGUAAA